UACGAAGGGGGCUAGCGUUGUUCGGAAUUACUGGGCGUAAAGCGUGCGUAGACGGUUGCGUAAGUCAGAUGUGAAAGCCCCGGGCUCAACCUGGGAAUUGCAUUUGAGACUGCGUAGCUAGGGUGCGGAAGAGGGAAGCGGAAUUUCCGGUGUAGCGGUGAAAUGCGUAGAUAUCGGAAGGAACACCAGUGGCGAAAGCGGCUUCCUGGUCCAGCACCGACGUUCAGGCACGAAAGCGUGGGGAGCAAACAGG
rnacentral:rRNA from 1 species